UGCAGUCGAGCGGACAGAUGGGAGCUUGCUCCCUGAUGUUAGCGGCGGACGGGUGAGUAACACGUGGGUAACCUGCCUGUAAGACUGGGAUAACUCCGGGAAACCGGGGCUAAUACCGGAUGCUUGUUUGAACCGCAUGGUUCAAACAUAAAAGGUGGCUUCGGCUACCACUUACAGAUGGACCCGCGGCGCAUUAGCUAGUUGGUGAGGUAAUGGCUCACCAAGGCAACGAUGCGUAGCCGACCUGAGAGGGUGAUCGGCCACACUGGGACUGAGACACGGCCCAGACUCCUACGGGAGGCAGCAGUAGGGAAUCUUCCGCAAUGGACGAAAGUCUGACGGAGCAACGCCGCGUGAGUGAUGAAGGUUUUCGGAUCGUAAAGCUCUGUUGUUAGGGAAGAACAAGUACCGUUCGAAUAGGGCGGUACCUUGACGGUACCUAACCAGAAAGCCACGGCUAACUACGUGCCAGCAGCCGCGGUAAUACGUAGGUGGCAAGCGUUGUCCGGAAUUAUUGGGCGUAAAGGGCUCGCAGGCGGUUCCUUAAGUCUGAUGUGAAAGCCCCCGGCUCAACCGGGGAGGGUCAUUGGAAACUGGGGAACUUGAGUGCAGAAGAGGAGAGUGGAAUUCCACGUGUAGCGGUGAAAUGCGUAGAGAUGUGGAGGAACACCAGUGGCGAAGGCGACUCUCUGGUCUGUAACUGACGCUGAGGAGCGAAAGCGUGGGGAGCGAACAGGAUUAGAUACCCUGGUAGUCCACGCCGUAAACGAUGAGUGCUAAGUGUUAGGGGGUUUCCGCCCCUUAGUGCUGCAGCUAACGCAUUAAGCACUCCGCCUGGGGAGUACGGUCGCAAGACUGAAACUCAAAGGAAUUGACGGGGGCCCGCACAAGCGGUGGAGCAUGUGGUUUAAUUCGAAGCAACGCGAAGAACCUUACCAGGUCUUGACAUCCUCUGACAAUCCUAGAGAUAGGACGUCCCCUUCGGGGGCAGAGUGACAGGUGGUGCAUGGUUGUCGUCACCUCCUGUCCUGAGAUGUUGGGUUAAGUCCCGCAACGAGCGCACCCUUGAUCU
rnacentral:rRNA from 1 species